GGAUGAAUGAAGGAGUGACAAAACAAAUGGGCGUAAGCAUCACAAUGACUACUUUUUGGCUGAAGUUGACAAGAAUUUCAGGACCAUCCACAAGAUUUUCUGCCUGUUAGGUCAGAGGGCAAUGGAAAACACUUGGCUUUGCUUGUCUUGUGGAGAAAGGAACAUAAUAAGGAGAAGGAGCACAAUCAGAUACAAAGCAAUCACUGUGUUUGGAUGCACUUCUAACCCACAUGGCUAUGAAGAUGUCAGAGAAUCCAUGAGUGUUUGUUCAGAAACCUGUUCACAUACAAAUCGGGAGAGCAGGAGCUGCUGGCAAGGCACAGUCACUCUGCACAUCUGACUCAGGGCAGGACACAGCUGGGGCUGCUUGGGUCUACACCAGGAGCUCACUCUGGCACUCUGACUGCUGUAUGGAGAAUGCUCUGGAGGUCAGUUCCUAGGAUGCAGGAAAAGCACUAGGGAUGCUAUUGCAGGAGAUGAGGGUUUAAUCAGGAAUCAGAACCUCUCUGAGUAGCAUGGAAUCAAGAAUUUAUGAUAGGAAUAAGUCUUUAUGUAAUUACGGAAGAACCUGGGGAAGGAAGGAUCUGGCAGGAGGAAAAAAAGAGCAGAAAAAAGCCACUAACCAGAAGCCACUAACCACUAACUUGCCAGAAGCACCAGCUUGGGUAGAGAAGUUGCAGCUUGCAAGGAAAUCUGGAAAGCCAGAACAUCAAGCUGCCAGAGUGCAGCUGUGAAGGGGAGCUGACGGAAAAGUGUAUGGAAACUUAAAUCCUCUGCUUAACCACCUUUUCUAUAAUUCUACCACCAAGCUUCUGGUGAUGGGCCUGGAGAGGCUACUGGUCAGCAGGGCCAGCAGUCAGGAAAACUGGAUGGAUGGGGGUGGGCAGAAGGUGAGAUCAAGCUGGAACCCUCUAGCGCCUCUGCAUCUGUCUUCCCUUCCAUGUAAGCACAGUGACCUUCAGAGAGUAACGGCUCAGAUCUGCCUUGCAAAUAUCAAGCGAAUUCCUUUUGUACCCUACUCUAACCUGGAAACAGAGAGAAGGUGAUGCUGCGGAACCGUUCUCCAGUAACCAAGUAAACACAGCCACAACCUCCCACUCUCUGUUCUCAUUGUCUUUCCAUCCGCCAGACACGCCUUUGCCCAUCUUACUAUUCCGAUCUUUCUGUAUUAUUUUGCUUCAAGCUUGUCCCUUAUAAAGAGUAGACAUUGGUUUUAUGAGUGCUAUUCUUGUUCCCCAAAGAAAGCUGUCUUUUAAUAAGAAUGUUAAAA
rnacentral:lncRNA from 1 species